rnacentral:rRNA from 1 species
AUGAACGCUAGCUACAGGCUUAACACAUGCAAGUCGAGGGGCAGCAUGGUCUUAGCUUGCUAAGGCCGAUGGCGACCGGCGCACGGGUGAGUAACACGUAUCCAACCUGCCGUCUACUCUUGGACAGCCUUCUGAAAGGAAGAUUAAUACAAGAUGGCAUCAUGAGUCCACAUGUUCACAUGAUUAAAGGUAUUCCGGUAGACGAUGGGGAUGCGUUCCAUUAGAUAGUAGGCGGGGUAACGGCCCACCUAGUCUUCGAUGGAUAGGGGUUCUGAGAGGAAGGUCCCCCACAUUGGAACUGAGACACGGUCCAAACUCCUACGGGAGGCAGCAGUGAGGAAUAUUGGUCAAUGGGCGAGAGCCUGAACCAGCCAAGUAGCGUGAAGGAUGACUGCCCUAUGGGUUGUAAACUUCUUUUAUAAAGGAAUAAAGUCGGGUAUGGAUACCCGUUUGCAUGUACUUUAUGAAUAAGGAUCGGCUAACUCCGUGCCAGCAGCCGCGGUAAUACGGAGGAUCCGAGCGUUAUCCGGAUUUAUUGGGUUUAAAGGGAGCGUAGAUGGAUGUUUAAGUCAGUUGUGAAAGUUUGCGGCUCAACCGUAAAAUUGCAGUUGAUACUGGAUAUCUUGAGUGCAGUUGAGGCAGGCGGAAUUCGUGGUGUAGCGGUGAAAUGCUUAGAUAUCACGAAGAACUCCGAUUGCGAAGGCAGCCUGCUAAGCUGCAACUGACAUUGAGGCUCGAAAGUGUGGGUAUCAAACAGGAUUAGAUACCCUGGUAGUCCACACGGUAAACGAUGAAUACUCGCUGUUUGCGAUAUACAGCAAGCGGCCAAGCGAAAGCGUUAAGUAUUCCACCUGGGGAGUACGCCGGCAACGGUGAAACUCAAAGGAAUUGACGGGGGCCCGCACAAGCGGAGGAACAUGUGGUUUAAUUCGAUGAUACGCGAGGAACCUUACCCGGGCUUAAAUUGCAGAUGAAUUACGGUGAAAGCCGUAAGCCGCAAGGCAUCUGUGAAGGUGCUGCAUGGUUGUCGUCAGCUCGUGCCGUGAGGUGUCGGCUUAAGUGCCAUAACGAGCGCAACCCUUGUUGUCAGUUACUAACAGGUUCCGCUGAGGACUCUGACAAGACUGCCAUCGUAAGAUGUGAGGAAGGUGGGGAUGACGUCAAAUCAGCACGGCCCUUACGUCCGGGGCUACACACGUGUUACAAUGGGGGGUACAGAGGGCCGCUACCACGCGAGUGGAUGCCAAUCCCAAAAACCUCUCUCAGUUCGGACUGGAGUCUGCAACCCGACUCCACGAAGCUGGAUUCGCUAGUAAUCGCGCAUCAGCCACGGCGCGGUGAAUACGUUCCCGGGCCUUGUACACACCGCCCGUCAAGCCAUGGGAGCCGGGGGUACCUGAAGUGCGUAACCGCGAGGAGCGCCCUAGGGUAAAACUGGUGACUGGGGCU